ensembl:snoRNA SNORD58 Small nucleolar RNA SNORD58
CUGCGGUGAUGCGUCUCUUAGGACACCUUUGGAUUUUACUAUGAAAAUGAAACUGUUCUGAGCGGU